UACAGGGGGGGCGAGCGUUGUUCGGAAUUACUGGGCGUAAAGGGUUUGUAGGUGGCUUGCUCAGUCAGACGUGAAAUCCCUCAGCUUAACUGGGGAACUGCGUCUGAUACUAGCGAGCUUGAGUGCAGGAGAGGAACGCGGAAUUCCAGGUGUAGCGGUGAAAUGCGCAGAUAUCAGGAAGAACACCUAUGGCGAAGGCAGCUCUCUGGGACGGUACUGACGCUGAGACGCGAAAGCGUGGGGAGCGAACAGG
rnacentral:rRNA from 1 species